CAGUGGUUGUAUGGGGCAAGGGAAAGUGGAAGUGACAGCUGCCUUUGGGAAAAGGAAGAGGAAGAGGAAGAGGAAGGACAAGAAGCAAAAACAACCCCCCCCCCCAGAAAACCCUCCUGUCUCUUCUUGGGAGCCAUAGACUUUGACAACAACUUCCCUGCAGAUCCCACGGAAUGGGAGCAACAGCAUAUCUUUCCACGUAGCCUCACACAAGGUGGCAGAGACCUCAGGGCUCCUUGGAAAAGACGGGUGAUACUACAUCUGGGUGAUGCAAAAGCGAAGAGGAAAUUGGGAUGCAAAUAGGUACUGAAGAUCGUGUGAAGACAGGGAGGAGGUUGUCAUCAGCAAGCCAAGGAGAGAAGCCUCAGAAGACACCAACCCUGCCAACACUGUGACCUCAGACUCCAGCCCCCAGAACUGUGAGAAAUACAUUUCUAUUAUUUAUGUCAAUCUGUGGUCCUCUGCUAUGGCAGCCCUGGUGAACUAACAUACAAUGCUCAAGAACUUUUCCAUAUUUUUUCCAUAUUGCUUUGCCAUAUUUUAAUUGUUUAGAGCUGCCUAAUAGAAAUAUACUAUGAGCCACGUAUGUAAUUUAAAAUUUUCUAGGAACUACAUUGAAAAAGUAAAAAAAAAG
rnacentral:lncRNA from 13 species